rnacentral:rRNA from 1 species
AUGAACAUUGCUCUCCUGACCCGAUGGCUAUGGCGUAUUGCCAACAGGGAGGGCGGCCUCUGGCUUACCAUCAUUCAGAAUAAGUACCUCCGGGGACAACCUCUUGCUUUCUGCCAGCGCUCUGGGGGAUCCCAGUUCUGGCAGGCUGUGAUUCAGCUCCUUCCCGUGCUCCGGAUUGGCACUUCCAUCUCGGUGGGUUCCGGGUCCUCGACCCUAUUUUGGUUCGACCGCUGGCUUGGGUAUUCCCCUCUGGCCGCCCGCUUCCCGGGCUUAUUUGCCAUUGCGGCAGACCCCCGAAUUUCCGUCGAGACGGCCCUUAUUGACCUAACGCGCCUCGCCUUUCGGCGCUCCUUUGGCCCCCAGGAGGUUGUCGCGUGGGACGCCCUUCUACAGGACAUCACUCUCUUGCCAAUGGAUGUAGAGGGCGUCGCCGACUCCAUGGCGUGGCACCUGGAGCCCUCGGGAAGCUUCUCCACGAAGUCUUUGUAUGCUGCCAUCGCCCCUUCGCUGGCCCAUGAGCCCUUUAGCCUGAUCUGGGACAUUCGUCUCCCCCUCAAGAUCCGGAUAUUCCUCUGGCAGUGGAUCCGGGGACGUCUCCCCUCUGGGGUGGAAGUCCGCAAGCGCAAUGGCCCUGGGGACGGGAUGUGUCCCCUGUGCGCCACAGUGGAGGAUUCGAACCACAUUUUCUUCAACUUCUCCACUGCCCAGUUCUUGUGGUCGUGCUUCCGUGAAACUGUCGGCGGACAGUGGUGCAAUACCAACUUCCCUGACCUACUCGCGGAGAUCCAUGCCUCCUCCCCGCGUUACCGCCAUAUUAGAUGGCUGUGCAUUUGGAUCCUAGCAUGGACGCUUUGGAAUAUUUGCAACAAGCUCGUUAUUCAGAAAGUGCCUCUGCGACGCGCGACAGACGCGAUCUUCAAAAUGUGUGGCUAUUUGCAGCUUUGGCGGCCGCUUAGCCGCCCUCAGGACCGGAGCGUCAUCGACACCCUCCUCACCGACCUUCGAUCGAUGGCCUUCCGCAUGGCGCCCCCGCUUCCGCCACCGCCGCCGGAGCCUGAUUAG